UACGUAGGGUGCAAGCGUUAAUCGGAAUUACUGGGUGUAAAGCGUGCGCAGGCGGUUAUAUAAGACAGUUGUGAAAUCCCCGGGCUCAACCUGGGGAACUGCAUCUGUGACUGUAUAGCUAGAGUACGGUAGAGGGGGAUGGAAUUCCGCGUGUAGCAGUGAAAUGCGUAGAUAUGCGGAGGAACACCGAUGGCGAAGGCAAUCCCCUGGACCUGUACUGACGCUCAUGCACGAAAGCGUGGGUAGCAAACAGG
rnacentral:rRNA from 1 species